UCCAGGUGCAAAGGUGGAAGCAAGAGAGUCCAGUGAAGAGCUGAUGCAGUCAUCCAGGAGAAACAUGACGGUGGCUUAGCCAGGAGGGCGCCAGGGAAGCUGGAUGAAGAAAGAGAUAAAACCAUUUAUGCUCCCGUGGAAGCAAAGUCAUUUGCUCUCCAGCCCCUGAAUGGUGAAUGGCAGUAAGAGGAGGAAGUCCGGGACCUAUUGGCAGAAGGCGGAGUCUCAGGUUCCCCUUCUUCAUGAAUGGGAGACUGCGAGGUCUGAAGUCACUGACGUGGAAUUUUAGAGCCGGAAGGAAGUAGUCACACCUGGUCCGCUCCACCCACAAUCUCAGCUAUCACUGUUUGGGCCUUAUCCAUGUAUCAUCAUUACUAUUAAAAUCUGUCUAUCAAUUGA